rnacentral:lncRNA from 1 species
GAGCGCCUCUUGCGAGUGUGUUGUUUCACUUCACUCAGAAAACAAACAAAAACUCAUUUGUUUAGUCAAAUUUUUUUCGAUGGUUGUCCGUUUAUUUUGCAAAUACAUAGAUAACUUGCAUAGCCAUCUAGUGGUAAAAAUCUGACUUGAAGGAGGGAUUUGAAUAGAUGACGCUUUCAAGGGAGGAGGAGUCUACCUAACCAUUGUUGAUCGAUUGUUACUUUUGUUAGGUCGAUUUCGAUCGCCAUUGUACAGUUAAUGGCGUCGCUCAUUAGAAGUAUAUGCGUGUGUGAAUUUCGAUGAGCGUUGCACACCUUGGAGGGCUCGUUGACUCGCCAGUUGAAGAUACGUGUGCACAGUGUUAGUGCUUGGGUUCCUCGAGAGGAAAUUGCAGAACAUAGCCAUACAGUAUAGUGUCAUUCAACAAUGUCCAACCAUGGAAUGAGUCACAUGUGACUGUGACAAACAAAUGAUGCUUUUGCAUUUUGAAUGUUUAAAUUUUUAUAAUUGUAUUUCAUACAAGCUUCUGGCCUGCGUCAGCCAAUAGGGUCCAGCAAUCACAUGGUCCGCUUUGACUGUGUAGUGUAACUUACAUACUUCCCAACUGAAAAUGUUUGGCUAUGUUAUACCUUCAACAGUACGAACAAUUUUGUUUUUUUAUUAUUAUGGUUUAUUUUUACAGGUGUUGGAAUAAAUUGUUGUGUGGAGGUGAAGCUUCAAUUUGGGAUGUGAUUUGUCAAUUGUUGGUUGAGAUGGCAAAAGAGCAAGGAUUGGAUCAACAUUUUAUUCCACACUCAUCUUUGGAAUUCUGGUGUGCUCAUAGUUGUAGUGGAACAUUCUCGUCUGUUCAGGUCACAAAUAACAUUAUUGUCCGCGUCCGAGAAAGUUGUACGACGAUGAAACCUGAAUUGCUUGCUUAACUGACGAGCCAAUGACCAACCCAGUUGAAUCCUGGAUACUUAAUCGUACGUUGUCAACACAAUUUCAAGUAGUCAGCCCACCCUGAUGGUUUCACAUUGGAGAAACGCGAGCAGCAGUGUAACGAUUACACCCGGCGCAUAGUCAGACGUGAUAAGAUUGUGGUCAUGCUGGUAAACGGCGGAGUCGAUUCCGCCGUUUGUGCUGCCCUUUUCCAUAAAGCACUUCUACAGAGUGACGACUCGUCGCGAGUGCAUGACAUCCAUAUCGAUAACGGUUUCCUGCGUAAAGACGAAUCCGAGCAAGUCGUCACUAGUUUACAGCAACUCGGGCUCAAUCUUCGGAGCUUUUUUCCAGACAGUGGCUUCUCAUUUCUAUUGCCAUACCAGCGAUCAGAUUUGAUGUUUCGAAUUGUUUUGGGUUGCUAAAGCAAGAUUGAUUUUCUACGAUGCUCCCACCAACGUGCAUGGUCGCCAAACUUUGUCGUUGUGUCGGACUGUAAACCCAGAAGAAAAACGUCGAAUUAUUGGCGAUAUGUUUGUCAAAGAGAUAGAUAGAACGGCUAACGAUUUAAAUGUCACUUGGGAUAAUCUACUUAUUUACGUUUUGCUCAAUCGGAUUGAAAUCGCGACGUCGGAAGAAGAGCGUCAUGUUCUAGAGGAACGGUCCAGACGCAACCAGUAUGUUGCCACGCUACUGCCUAUUCGCAUUGUUGGUGUUAAGGGAGAUUGCCGAACUUAUAGCUAUUGUGCGUAGAACUGAGCUCUGAUCAGACACACCAAACUGGAAUGGUCUAACCACCUACGCCCGCUAAUACAGCGUGUGUGCCAUAAUGUCAAUCGUGUUUGCUACUUAUUCGGAAAUGCUGUGCGUGAAUGGGUGACAGACGCUACACCUACCUACUUAACGACUAACAUUUUGGCGAUCAUGCCGUCUUAGCUGUUCCAGGAAUUUUCAGGGUCUUGUAUGAUCUGACGGCGAAACCAACCUCGACAACGGAGUGGGAAUGAUUUGAUUUACGAACGUUGCUCAGGUAAAUGAUCUCCACCACUAUUUACAGAACACGGAUGCGGAAUUGUAUCACUGACCAGAUUUAGAUGGGUUAUAUUAUAAAAGUGGAUUCAGUAUAGACUUCUAAAAUUGAAAAAUUAAUCAGCUUUGUCGUCUCGUGAAACUCUCUUAAAUUCGGUUCUUAGGAAAAAUUCACCUGAUGACUUGUUGAGUAUUCCUUAAUAUACAUGCACCUUUGUCGGAAAUAAUGGGUGCAUUUGGUUUUCGUCGAACAAAUUAAACAUUCUUAAUAUGCAGCUAGUUGGGUUGUUGUUGCUCUCCGAAGACUAUUUGAGGCGUUAUACCAUUUCUUGAAAUGGAAUAUUCAGAAAAUAUGGUAUAUGUUCGCAAAUUGUUAAGAUAUAUUAAGGGUGGUACCAUAAAGUAUGACUGCAGGAAAGGGUUCGUAGGCUUCUAAAAGUUAAUAACAGCUAUGACGUCUUUUUGGUAAGCGGAAAAGGUACUGUUUAUUGAAGCGUCAGAUGACGGUUUUAAGAUUGGACUCUUUCCUUUGCUUUGCCAGUGCUUGGAACUGGCAGUUGGCGUUUAGCAAUGGCACCAAAUCUUUAUUCUUAAAACCCAGAGGUGUUCUUGACUUUUCAGGGGAUUGAUUGCAGAUACUUUUUGAAUAAUCCAUGAAGAAUACCAAUAUAUGGAUAAGUGGAGGGUAAUAAAAGUAUAAAACUGUAAUUCCUCGUGGCAUUUUCAUUCACGCAUACUGGGCAGCUCGGGAGCAGACGAACCAUUGAAAGGGCCUUGCGUAGUCUAGCUGCAUCCAGCCAGAUACUAGUAGAACCCAAAACAUUGUUUUGACAAGUACUGUCAUAUUUUGGUUGCAGGUUUUCACUAAAUACCAAGGUGUGGUAGCUAUUAUUCUGUGUUUUUCUUGCUUUCAACACUACAGGCUGAUCCUACGAGCUACGACAGUUUUACCUACAAAUGUUUAGCCGUUUCGUGCUGCAACUAUUAGUCUAUUUUCUAGGAUGUAAUGCCUAAAAUUGGAAUUCAGCUAUCAGAGAUUAGCAAAAUUCAAGCGGAAACUCUAGAUGGCGUUUUUGUGCGUUUAUGACGAAGAUAAUGAGUGACAAGUUAAUUGGGUGUUUGUUACGUUACGCUGUUAUGUGUUUCAAAAGUUUUUCGUCAAAAAAUUUACGAUUGCUUUUUGUCUGUGUUGGUGUUUCGCCUUGUCAGCUAUGCCAGCUGCUGAACCAGCAGCCUGCAUUCCUGCUAUCAAUGUACCACAAGAGAUCCUGACACUUUGAGUAGGCCACUAUUGCUUACAUAAAGAUCACCAUCCAGAUCAAGUACUGCUAAUCUACCUCAAGCCUUUUGUUUAAGCUUAGUGAUGUGUUCUCUCGUCAGUCAACGACAGAGUCUUCAUCUAAUUUGUGUUGCUAACCAUCCACCCUCAGCAUCCCAGGUAUCCAGAUUUCCAAGUUUCUCUGAUUAGCCAACCAUCAUCCAAACCCUUCAGCUCUUCAAUGUGGCUUCUCUUCCUCUCUUCUUAAUCUGCUGAAUGCCAACAUUGAAUCAGAUUCAUCAUCAUUGCCUGUCCAUGACGGAAAUCUUUAUUGUUAACACAGCUCACAUGUAGAGGCUUUAACAACAUCUCCAUUUUUUGGACUGCAAAAAUUCAUCUUCCUUCGGUACGACACUGCCGUUUUGACAAUUUCGGUAUUUUCGUCCCCAGUGGACCACACGCAACUACAUUUUCUUCGUCUUCCUAUCGUUGUUGUCUACGACUUCACCUCAUCGCUGUCUUCGUUGACGUCUUCGCCUUCAUUUCCGUCUCGUCGUCUUGGCCGUCUUCGCCUUCAUCUCCGUCUCGUCGUCUUGGCCGUCUUCGCCUUCAUCUUCAUCUCGUCGUCUUGGCCGUCUUCGCCUUCAUCUCCGUCUCGUCGUCUUCGCCUUUGUUUCAUCGCCGUCUUUUUCUUCGC